rnacentral:tRNA from 1 species
GCAUUGGUGGUUCAGUGGUACAAUUCUCUCCUUCCACGUAGGAGACCUGGGUCCGACUCCUGGCCAGUGCA